rnacentral:lncRNA from 1 species
UUUGGCUUAAGCAUGACCUUAAAAAUGUGUUUUAUUUCCCUUUACAACUGCUACAACUAUUGGUAGGUGGAAGAUAACUUUGAUCAAUUUUUAUUUUCUUUUCACCUUUCAUCAGUAGAAAUACAAUAAACUCCAAAAAUGGGAAAAUCUUUGUCUAAAGUAAAAAAAAAAAAGUGUAUUCCAAUUUAAUUAAUGAGUACCAUGCCUUUUGAAAUAUGCCCUAUUUUUACAGUAUGAAUGGAGAUUAUCAUAAGAAGUGUAUUACCAUUUUACAUUUUGUGGAAACGUCACCUUCAAAGGAGUAUGAAUGCUGGCUCUGUGGUAAACACUAUGUGUAAAUAAAAGUGUUCAAAUGCACAUUGUUACCAAAAUGCAGUCUCAAGUAUUUGAGGAAAACAUUUCUGUUUAUGGUCUUUAGGAAGAGGAAGUAUGUACUCUAUUUUAUGAUGAUUUAAUGGAUGAUGUGUAGAGCUUGCACUUCAACAUUUACAUUUUGAAAGCAAUGUUGGCUGAUUACAAAAACUGUGCUGCCACUUAUGACAUUUUAAUUAUAAGUUUGCAGGCAAAUAUUAUGAUGCUCUAUGUUAACUGCUUUCUGUUUUACAAGUUUGUAUAUAUGUAAAACUAUAACUAAGUUCCAAUGAAUGUGGCAAUAUCAUCACUUGGGCAAGAAAACAUAUUGGUACAAUAUAUUCCACGCAUUAAUAAAAAAUGAAACAGCAUGGAGCAAAUAAAUUCAAAAUAAGUCCUAAGACUGCUGUAAUCUAACAUUAAAUGUUGAUUAUGAAUAAACUAUCAUAAAAGAGUAAGGUCCUUAUUAGCAAGGUCAAAACUAUAACAUUUGGGGGAUGGUAUUUAACUCAGAUUUCUAAGCCAGUAGUUAAUUAUUUAUGUGUUGAAUAAAAACAAAUGUAGUUUUGGUGUAUGUCACCAAUCACACAGAAAAAUAUAGUCUUUCAUGGAGAAGGUUUGCCUAUACUUAGAGAAAGAGAAAUGGAUUUGGAACUCUGCGAUUGUUUCUAGGCAUCUGGCUCAAUGUCUUUACUCAACCAACUUGAAUGUUUCAAUUUAUUCAUCUUGCUUUAUUGCAAGGAAAUUAUCUGUUCUGUGGGUGAUGUGUCGUUGCUAGAAAGCUCUACCUUGGGAUCAGGUUUGGAUCCCAGACAUCGAAAAGUGUCACAGUAUUAAACUAUAGGUUGAUUAUUAGGUCACAGUAACUGGCGGAAGACGAAAGAUGAAUUGAAGAAAGAAAACUGCAUGUUUUCUACAACUGUGUAUAAUAUUGAACGGUCUAGCUCUUGAUAGACAUGUGAAACGAAGUAAUUAUUUAACCCUAGAAAUAUGAUAAAACCCUGGCUUUAUUUAUAUCAAGACUAAAUGCAUGCAUUGAAAAGUUAAGAACACAUUAUUUUGGUAUUUAAUAAGUCUAUUAUUUAUUUACCUGGCUCAUAUCUAUUAAACUUCUUAAUAAUAUAGAUAACAAAUUUUAGAUUAUGGCCUUUCUUGAUUAUGGAUC